CGAAAGGCUCAGAGCUGCCAGGCAUAACAGGGCGCACUCACCUACUGAGUGUACAGCUCCAGAGACACUGAGGAGUUUAUGGAAAAUGACAGCAUCCCACUACACCACAGAAAACAUACCCAAUCCAUUCUACUGAAACAGGCAAUUCCUCCAAAGAAAAUAUACAGUGAGCUACCACUGAAAGGGGUAAAGUUACUCUCAGAUUUCUCCAUGAAGUCUUCUAUAUUAAACCAGCAUGAAGGACUGAACCUUACACUACGUAUCUGGCAACUCAAAUUCUGAUGGAGAAAAAAUUCAUAGGAAAAUUCAUAAGAAAAAAAUAGCCGAUAUGAGUAUCCCUCCUGACUGGCUCUCAUUAAGUAGCUACUACUGAAGCAUAUGAAGAAGGCAACAUAUUCAUAUAAAGAGUAAAAA
ensembl:lncRNA novel transcript